rnacentral:misc_RNA from 1 species
GAUGAAGAACGUAGCGAAAUGCGAUAAGUAAUGCGAAUUGCAGAUUUCAGUGAAUCAUCGAAUCUUUGAACGCACAUUGCGCCCGCUAGUAUUCUGGCGGGCAUGCCUGUCCGAGCGUCAUUUCAACCCUCAAGCCCCCGGGCUUGGUGUUGGGGAUCGGCGAGCCUCCGCGCCCGCCGUCCCCUAAAUCUAGUGGCGGUCUCGCUGUAGCUUCCUCUGCGUAGUAGCACACCUCGCACUGGGAAACAGCGCGGCCACGCCGUUAAACCCCCAACUUCUGAACGUUUGACCUCGGAUCAGGUAGGAAUACCCGCUGAACUUAAGCAUAUCAAUAAGCGGAGGA